UACGGGGGGAGCAAGCGUUGUUCGGAUUUACUGGGCGUAAAGGGCGCGUAGGCGGCCAGUGCAAGUCAGUUGUGAAAUCUCCGAGCUUAACUCGGAAAGGUCAACUGAUACUGCUCGGCUAGAGUGCGGAAGGGGCAACUGGAAUUCUUGGUGUAGCGGUGAAAUGCGUAGAUAUCAGGAGGAACACCGGUGGCGAAGGCGGUUCUCUGGGCAGUAACUGACGCUGAGGAGCGAAAGCGUGGGGAGCGAACAGG
rnacentral:rRNA from 1 species